GAAAGUACAGAUAGAUCAGAUAGAAAUUUAAAGUGGGUUUUGGAAGAGAGCUUUCAAGAGCGUAUUUGGAUAAAGCAAGCAUCUAUCUAUCUCUAUUGUCACUCUGAAAAGAAAACUAGCAACCACAACCCUAGCCACAUUCCCCACUGCCCUACUCUUUAUCCAUAUCAAGUAGCCUCAAGAUAAAGCAAUGGCCAAAAUCAAUCAGACUCAGCAUUAUCUUUCACCCACUGGUGUAACUGCACUGCAGCCUGUUCCUGCUGCUGCAUUUAUUAAGCAACUCAGUCCUCGCCAUCUGCGGUGGAUUGCACAGAUAUUGCUCAUUCUCGAACUUCGAAAGCAAACCCGUCAAGGAAGAGAAAUAUCCCUCGUUGUGAAACCCCGUGAU
rnacentral:lncRNA from 1 species